GACGAACGCUUGCGGCGUGCUUAACACAUGCAAGUCGAACGGAAAGGCCCUGCUUUUGUGGGGUGCUCGAGUGGCGAACGGGUGAGUAACACGUGAGUAACCUGCCCUUGACUUUGGGAUAACUUCAGGAAACUGGGGCUAAUACCGGAUAGGAGCUCCUGCUGCAUGGUGGGGGUUGGAAAGUUUCGGCGGUUGGGGAUGGACUCGCGGCUUAUCAGCUUGUUGGUGGGGUAGUGGCUUACCAAGGCUUUGACGGGUAGCCGGCCUGAGAGGGUGACCGGCCACAUUGGGACUGAGAUACGGCCCAGACUCCUACGGGAGGCAGCAGUGGGGAAUAUUGCACAAUGGGCGGAAGCCUGAUGCAGCAACGCCGCGUGCGGGAUGACGGCCUUCGGGUUGUAAACCGCUUUCGCCUGUGACGAAGCGUGAGUGACGGUAAUGGGUAAAGAAGCACCGGCUAACUACGUGCCAGCAGCCGCGGUGAUACGUAGGGUGCGAGCGUUGUCCGGAUUUAUUGGGCGUAAAGGGCUCGUAGGUGGUUGAUCGCGUCGGAAGUGUAAUCUUGGGGCUUAACCCUGAGCGUGCUUUCGAUACGGGUUGACUUGAGGAAGGUAGGGGAGAAUGGAAUUCCUGGUGGAGCGGUGGAAUGCGCAGAUAUCAGGAGGAACACCAGUGGCGAAGGCGGUUCUCUGGGCCUUUCCUGACGCUGAGGAGCGAAAGCGUGGGGAGCGAACAGGCUUAGAUACCCUGGUAGUCCACGCUGUAAACGGUGGGUACUAGGUGUGGGGUCCAUUCCACGGGUUCCGUGCCGUAGCUAACGCUUUAAGUACCCCGCCUGGGGAGUACGGCCGCAAGGCUAAAACUCAAAGGAAUUGACGGGGCCCCGCACAAGCGGCGGAGCAUGCGGAUUAAUUCGAUGCAACGCGUAGAACCUUACCUGGGUUUGACAUGGAUCGGGAGUGCUCAGAGAUGGGUGUGCCUCUUUUGGGGUCGGUUCACAGGUGGUGCAUGGCUGUCGUCAGCUCGUGUCGUGAGAUGUUGGGUUAAGUCCCGCAACGAGCGCAACCCUUGUUCACUGUUGCCAGCACGUUAUGGUGGGGACUCAGUGGAGACCGCCGGGGUCAACUCGGAGGAAGGUGGGGAUGACGUCAAGUCAUCAUGCCCUUUAUGUCCAGGGCUUCACGCAUGCUACAAUGGCUGGUACAGAGAGUGGCGAGCCUGUGAGGGUGAGCGAAUCUCGGAAAGCCGGUCUCAGUUCGGAUUGGGGUCUGCAACUCGACCUCAUGAAGUCGGAGUCGCUAGUAAUCGCAGAUCAGCAACGCUGCGGUGAAUACGUUCCCGGG
rnacentral:rRNA from 1 species